rnacentral:rRNA from 2 species
UUAAAUUGAAGAGUUUGAUCAUGGCUCAGAUUGAACGCUGGCGGCAGGCCUAACACAUGCAAGUCGAACGGUAACAGGAAUCAGCUUG